GACAGAGGGUGCAAACGUUGUUCGGAAUUACUGGGCGUAAAGCGCGUGUAGGCUGCUCGGAAAGUCGGAUGUGAAAGCCCUGGGCUUAACCUAGGAAGUGCAUUCGAAACUUCCGAGCUGGAGUUCUGGAGAGGAAGGCGGAAUUCUCGGUGUAGAGGUGAAAUUCGUAGAUAUCGAGAGGAACACCGGUGGCGAAGGCGGCCUUCUGGACAGUGACUGACGCUGAGGCGCGAAAGCUAGGGGAGCAAACGGG
rnacentral:rRNA from 1 species